rnacentral:misc_RNA from 1 species
GAUGAAGAACGUAGCGAAAUGCGAUAAGUAAUGCGAAUUGCAGAUUUCAGUGAGUCAUCGAAUCUUUGAACGCACAUUGCGCCCGCCAGUAUUCUGGCGGGCAUGCCUGUUCGAGCGUCAUUUCAACCAUCAAGCCCCAGGCUUGUGUUGGAGCCCUGCGGCUGCCGCAGCCUCCCAAAACCAGUGGCGGGCUCGCUAUCACACCGAGUGCAGUAGUUUACUCUUCGCUCAGGGCGUGUGGCGGGUGCUAGCCGUAAAACCCCCAACUUCUCAAGGUUGACCUCGGAUCAGGUAGGAAUACCCGCUGAACUUAAGCAUAUCAUAAGCGGAGGA